CCGAUUUUAGUGAACCUGACCUUUGGUUAUGGUAUCGCGAAAACAUUGUAUUUAAAACCCCACUCAUAAAAAAAAAAAUUUUUUAUAUAUAAAUAAAUAAAGA
rnacentral:misc_RNA from 1 species